rnacentral:rRNA from 3 species
UACGUAGGGGGCAAGCGUUGUCCGGAUUUAUUGGGCGUAAAGCGCACGCAGGCGGUCAGCCAAGUUCAGGGUGACAGUUCCCGGCUCAACUGGGAAAGUGGUCUGAAAACUGGCGGACUUGAGGGCUUCAGAGGGACACGGAAUUCCGGGUGGAGUGGUGAAAUGCGUAGAUAUCCGGAGGAACACCAAAGGCGAAGGCAGUGUCCUGGGAAGUACCUGACGCUCAGGUGCGAAAGCCAGGGGAGCGAACGGG